AUGAACGCGUUCCUGACCGGUGGACAGAACCGAAACUCGUAGGCGUACGACAAAGACUUGCCGCACAAAUACUUUCGGUCUGACACACCCUCAUUGGAACUAGCGCGCACAUUAAAACGUGCGGCGGCCUUACCGAGGAAAGGUAUCAUUACAUGACCAAACGCGGUUGGCACGAAAUGUUUGGACAGAAAGCUACACUCUUCAAGGAAAGAAUGUGAUUUAACUUUAGCUUUCAUGUGAGCUCUGCGGCAUACGUUCUCGUAUAAACGGCGGUAGUCCCU
rnacentral:misc_RNA from 1 species